GGGAGGGCGAGUGGGAGGCUGGGGUGGCCACUGCGAGGCUCCUGCCAAGGCUCCGGAUCCGGCACACCUGGCCAGCCUCCCUCAGGUGAGCGGAGCCUCCUGGGCCCUUCCUCCCCCUGCACAGACCUCCAAGGCAGCUCCAGCCUGGACACCUGACUCUUGCAGGGCCCUGAAGCGUGGACACAUUCGGCGUCCAAAGCCCUGCCUGCGGCCAACCGGACCAUGUCCAUGCUGGUGGCGUUGGGCGACUCGGAGCGCAUGGCGGCCGAAGACAUCAUGCUCAACACGCGGCAGGUGAUGAAGGGCCUGGAGGCCUUGCGCAGCGAGCACCGGGGCCUGCGCCAGCGGCUGGAGGAGGCCCUGCUGACCGAGCGGCGCCUGCAGGACCAGCGGGAGGAGGCCGCGGCCGCGGAGGAGCAGGCGCUGGACGGACCGGCCUUGGAGCUGCUGGAGGAGAAGCACGACCUGGUCCGGAAGAGCCUGGAAGGCCUCGAGCUGGGCAUCGCGGAGGCGCAGAUGAUGGUGGCGCUGUCCUCGCACAUCGGGGCGCUGGAGGCGGAGAAGCAGAAGCUGCGUGCGCAGGUCAAGCGCUUGUGCCAGGAGAACCUCUGGCUGCGGGACGAGUUGGCCGUGACGCAGCUGCGGCUUCAGCAGAGCGAGGAGGCCGUGGCCCAGCUGGACGAGGAGAAGAAGCACCUGGAGUUCCUCAACCAGCUCAAGCAGUACGACCCCAAGGACGACCAGGCAGAGAAAGACGACUUGGAGCAGAGGAAGGAUAGCCUAUCAUCCUUAUUCCCCAGCGAUGAAGAUGAGCAGAGGCCAGGAGGACCGGGACCGACGGCCGCGGCCGUAUCGGCAGCCCAGCAAGGCGGCUACGAGAUCCCGGCGCGGCUCCGGACGCUGCACAACCUGGUCAUCCAAUACGCCUCGCAAGGGCGCUACGAGGUGGCCGUCCCGCUUUGCAAGCAGGCGCUGGAGGACCUGGAGAAGAGCUCCGGCCACAGCCACCCGGACGUGGCCACCAUGCUCAACAUCCUGGCCCUGGUGUACAGGGACCAGAACAAGUACAAGGAAGCCACAGAGCUACUCAACGAUGCCCUGGAUAUUCGGGAGCAGACGCUCGGGGUGGAACACCCUGCGGUGGCUGCUACCUUGAACAAUUUGGCCGUCCUCUAUGGCAAAAGGGCCAAGUAUAAGGAAGCCGAGCCUCUGUGCAAAAGGGCCUUGGAGAUCCGGGAGAAGGUCCUGGGCAUGGACCACCCCGACGUGGCCAAGCAGCUCAACAACCUGGCCCUUUUGUGCCAGAACCAGGGCAAAUUCGACGAAGUGGAGCAGUACUACCAGCGGGCCCUGCGCAUCUACCAGACCCGCCUUGGCCCCGACGACCCCAACGUCGCCAAGACCAAGAACAACCUGGCGUCUUCCUACCUGAAACAAGGCAAGUACCAGCAGGCAGAGGAGCUCUACAAGGAGAUCCUGUCUUCGCAGGACUCGGAACUCGCCUCCAGCCGGAACGAUGAGAACCGGUUGGGCACCGGAGGGAGUUUGCACCUGAGCCAGGUACGGUCCCGGUCCAUUUACGGGAAGCCAAGCCCUGAUGACCUCGUGCAUUUCCUUUGCGCCAAAAUAUUACAUUUUCAAAACAAGUUUAAAAGUAAAAUAAUAAAGAAACACAGAUCUAAAAGGAUCCAAUAUACUUCCACCACCAUGAGGGAUGGGGAGCUAGUGGUGAAGUGGAGUGAAUCUUUUUUCGCCCCAUCUUUUGCUAAGCAAUCAGACAGUUUUACAUUAUUAUUAUUAUUAUUAUUUAUUAUGACACAGCAGACAAGACAGAUAUGCUGGAUUUCGUAUCAUAAAAUCACAAGUCGAACACUUCCCAAGUGUCUAGGACUGUGUGAUGUAUUUUCGGAUGAUGAAUUAUUAUUAUUAUUAUUAUUAUUAUUAUUAUUAUUAUUAUUAUUAUGUUUAUCUGUCAGCUUUACCUCUUGCAAGCAUUCUAACAGUUUUGCCUUUUUGCAAAGCAUUCCAAAAAAAAUUGCCUUUUGCAAAGCAAUGGGACAGUUCUGCCAUUUUACAAAGCCAUUGGUCAGUUUUGCCAUUCGAAAAGCCAUCCAUCAGUUUGGCCUUUUGCUAAGCAAUGGCACCGUUUUCCCUUCUGCAAAGCCAUCGGUCAGUUUGGCCUUUUGCAAAGCAAUAGGACAUUUUUACCUUCUGCAAAGCCAUUGGUCAGUUUUGCCAUUUGCAAAGCAAUAUGACACUUUUACCUUUUGCAAAGCCAUUGGUCAGUUUUGCCAUUUGCAAAGCAAUGGGACAGUUUUACCUUUUGCAAAGCCAUCAGUCAGUUGGGCCUUUUGCAAAGCAUUGGGACAGUUUUACCUUUUGCAAAGUCAAUGGUCAGUUUUGUCAUUUACAAAGCAAUAGGACACAUUUAUCUUUUGCAAAGCCAUCGGUCAGUUUGGCCUUUUGCUAAGCAAUGGCACCGUUUUCCCUUUUGCAAAGCCAUCGGUCAGUUUGGCCUUUUGCAAAGCAAUAGGACAUUUUUACCUUCUGCAAAGCCAUUGGUCAGUUUUGCCAUUUGCAAAGCAAUAUGACACUUUUACCUUUUGCAAAGCCAUUGGUCAGUUUUGCCAUUUGCAAAGCAAUGGGACAGUUUUACCUUUUGCAAAGUCAAUGGUCAGUUUUGUCAUUUACAAAGCAAUAGGACACAUUUAUCUUUUGCAAAGCCAUCGGUCAGUUUGGCCUUUUGCUAAGCAAUGGCAUAGUUUUCCCUUUUGCAAAGCCAUCGGUCAGUUCUGCCAUUUUUAAAGCAAUAGGACACAUUUAUCUUCUGCAAAGCCAUUGGUCAGUUGGGCCUUUUGCAAAGCAUUGGGACAGCUUUACCUUUUGCAAAGUCAAUGGUCAGUUUUGCCUUUUGCAAAACAUUGGGACAGUUUUACUUUUUGCAAAGCCAUCGGUCAGUUUUGCCAUUUUUAAAGCAAUAGGACACUUUUAUCUUUUGCAAAGCCAUCAGUCAGUUUUCCCUUUUGCAAAGCCAUCAGUCAGUUUUCCCUUUUGUAAAGCCAUCGGUCAGUUUUCCCUUUUGUAAAGCCAUUGGUCAGUUUUCCCUUUUGCAUCAGCAACCCUAUAGGACAACCCUAUAGUUAUGUGGGACUAUAACUCCCAUCAUCCCACCAGAAGUAAUGGGAACCACAGUUCCAUAUCCACCUGCUCAUGCAAUGAGAUUGGGGGGGGGGGGGGAUGCUUCCAUGGCUUGGGCUCAGAAAUAUCCACUAGUAAAAGUAGGGUCCCCGUCCUUCCUGCCACCCCAAAGCCUGUCUCUUUCUUUCCCAGGAUGCCUUGGGGAGCUUCCGGCGCAGCAGCUCUUUCUCUCGCUUCCGGGAGUCCCUUCGGCGCGGCAGCGAAAAGCUGGUCUCCAAACUGAGGGGGGACGGGGUUCGGAGGGUGCCCCCCUCCACCGGGAUGAAGCGGGCCACCUCCCU